UGGCGGGACGGGGUGGAGUAAUGUCUGGGAAACUGCCUGAUGGAGGGGGAUAACUACUGGAAACGGUAGCUAAUACCGCAUAACGUCGCAAGACCAAAGAGGGGGACCUUAGGGCCUCUUGCCAUCGGAUGUGCCCAGGUGGGAUUAGCUAGUAGGUGGGGUAACGGCUCACCUAGGCGACGAUCCCUAGCUGGUCUGAGAGGAUGACCAGCCACACUGGAACUGAGACACGGUCCAG
rnacentral:rRNA from 1 species